GGAGACACGGAAACAAGGUCAGAGGGGGAGUAGGAGAGCCGGGUUCGUGAUUCGGAUUGAGUCUCGAGGUUCCUCAUGCUUGACUUCUGGCCAUCGCUGCAGAUCUGGCCACUUUGUUGUGAUUAUGGAGAACAACGAGACCAAUGAAGGCACAACCUCAUUCAACGUCAAAGGUUCAUUCACAAAGUGAGGCAAGCCAAUAGGUGCCAGAAAGUCAAGCUCUACGGUGCCAGAGAGUCAAGCUCUAAGGUGCCCGAGAGUCAAGCUCUAAGGUGCCCGAGAGUCAAGCUCUAAGGUGCCCGAGAGUCAAGCUCUAAGGUGCCAGAGAGUCCUCUCUAAGGUGCCCGAGAGACCGGCUCUAAGGUGCCAGAGAGUCCUCUCUAAGGUGCCCGAGAUCAAGCUCUAAGGUGCCAGAGAGUCCUCUCUACGGUGCAGAUCUCCCCGCUCUAAAGGCCUUAGUAUCAGUCGGUGUACACCAGGAGUCCUCACCUGUGGCCGUGGUGCUGGUGGCGCUGGAGGCCAGGCGGCCAGGGCAGCCGUGUUGGCGGCAAUGGUGCCCUUUUUGGUGCCAGUCACAAACUC